rnacentral:rRNA from 1 species
UGGGGAAUUUUGGACAAUGGGCGAAAGCCUGAUCCAGCAAUGCCGCGUGUGUGAAGAAGGCCUUCGGGUUGUAAAGCACUUUUGUCCGGAAAGAAAUCCUUGGCUCUAAUACAGUCGGGGGAUGACGGUACCGGAAGAAUAAGCACCGGCUAACUACGUGCCAGCAGCCGCGGUAAUACGUAGGGUGCAAGCGUUAAUCGGAAUUACUGGGCGUAAAGCGUGCGCAGGCGGUUUGCUAAGACCGAUGUGAAAUCCCCGGGCUCAACCUGGGAACUGCAUUGGUGACUGGCAGGCUAGAGUAUGGCAGAGGGGGGUAGAAUUCCACGUGUAGCAGUGAAAUGCGUAGAGAUGUGGAGGAAUACCGAUGGCGAAGGCAGCCCCCUGGGCAAUACUGACGCUCAUGCACGAAAGCGUGGGGAGCAAACAGGAUUAGAUACCCUGGUAGUCCACGCCCUAAACGAUGUCAACUAGUUGUGGGGAUUCAUUUCCUAGUAACGUAGCUAACGCGUGAAGUUGACCGCCUGGGGAGUACGGUCGCAAGAUUAAAACUCAAAGGAAUUGACGGGGUCAUAGCUGUUUCCU